rnacentral:lncRNA from 1 species
CUAAAUGAAAUGAGAGACGUAAGAAAACUUCUCUGAAGAAAUUCUCUCAAAGUUUCUCUCUCCUUUUCUCUUGCUUAUUCUCUUUAAUUUUAUGCAGCAAUUAUAAGAGUAUCUUUAUACAUUUUUGCUAAAAUUUUAUAACAGUUGGACAUUUGUUGUAAAACUAUAUUGCGUUUUAUCUCUCAUGUCAUGACUCGUCCAUUCAUCUCAUGUCAUGUCCUUAACGAGG